AUUGUACACAUACCGGUCUAUGAUCUACCUGAGGAUUGUCACGUAAAGUAGGGCGGAAGACAACAGAGGGAAGCUGGCAAACGGAAUCGGUACAUCUACGAAUUCCCACUGAAUGAGUGAUAGUGCACGGCCUUUGGUAAAUCUACAAUAUUUUCACUUCUUUUGUACUCACGAUGUGUUGAUAGUUCUGUGCUGCUGGUUUUCUUUUAGCCUAUGCUUGCCCUCCCUUACUGUUCGCCGUUCCUCCAAAAUGAUAGCGUGUCAAACCUCGAUUCCAUAAGAUAUUGUCAUUCGACAACGGAGGAUCAUCACGAUUACUACGUGCAGUCCGCUCUCGGAGUUCAUCGAAAACAUUUAUUUCUUAUUUAAUUUACAACGUAAUUCCUUUACCAAUAUUAUUGUAUCGGUUUACGUUUGAGUCUCUCAUUAAACCGUAUUUUUCUAAUGAUAAUUAUAUCAAUUUGUAUUCCAAGUAAUGUAGUACUUGGAAUACUUCUAUAUUAACGAAAUUUUUUUAUGUGUGUGAUCGAGAC